rnacentral:tRNA from 1 species
GCUGGGAUAUAGCCCAGUUGGUUAAUGCACAUUGUUUUGGUUGUUGUGGUCGCGGGUUCGAGUCCGGGUUCACGCA